UUCGGGUCUCGGCUCGUAUCUCGGUUAAGUUUUGAGCUCAGUCAAGCAGAUCAAAGAAAGUCAACAUCAGUCAAACUCAGUUUCGGCUCGGGUCAGAAUUGGUCAACAGGAUCGGCUCGGUCAACGUGGUCAGGUUCAGUUUUGGUGCGGUGCGAGUCGACUUGGUCAAACCAAGUCAACUCGGUCAAACCUGGUCAACGUGAGUCAACCCAGUUGACUCGGUCAACUCGAAGGACCCGGAAUGUCGUAGUUGCACGCUAGCUAAAUACACGUUCUUGGAACAACACUACGGAAUCACGCUAAGCUAGCAUUGCACAGGAAUGUCAAGGUUGCAUUUUCAAAACUAUGGAACGGUUGGAAUAGGAGAACCCACGGGAUUUCGAG